rnacentral:rRNA from 1 species
GACGAACGCUGGCGGCGUGCUUAACACAUGCAAGUCGAACGAAGUGGCGAACGGGUGAGUAACGCGUAAUCAACCUGCCCUUCAGAGGGGGACAACAGUUGGAAACGACUGCUAAUACAGCAUACUGAAGGAGGGGAUUGCGUCUGAUUAGCUCGUCGGAGGGGUAACGGCCCACCAAGGCGAUGAUCAGUAGCCGGUGUGGGAGGAUGAUCGGCCGCGUGGGGACUGGGACACGGCCCAGACUCCUACGGGUGGCGGCAGUGGGGAAUCUUCCGCAAUGGACGAGAGUCUGACGGAGCAACGCCGCGUGCGUGAUGACGGCCUUCGGGUUGUAAAGCUCUGUUAAUCGGGACGCGGUACCGGAAUAGAAAGCCACGGCUAACUACGUGCCAGCAGCCGCGGUAAUUC